rnacentral:rRNA from 1 species
UACGGUUACCUUGUUACGACUUCAUCCCAGUCACCAAUCCCACCUUCGGCAGCUCCUUCCCCAAGGGGUUAGGCCACUGACUUCGGGUGUUACCGACUUCCGUGAUGUGACGGGCGGUGUGUACAAGCCCCGAGAACGUAUUCACCGUGGCUUUGCUGAUCCACGAUUACUAGCGACUCCGGCUUCAUGGAGUCGAGUUGCAGACUCCAAUCCGAACUGAGGACGACUUUACGGGAUUGGCUGACCCUCGCGGGAUCGCAGCCCAUUGUAUCGCCCAUUGUAGCAUGCGUGCAGCCCUGGAUAUAAGGGGCAUGAUGACUUGACAUCGUCCUCGCCUUCCUCCGAGUUGUCCCCGGCAGUCUCCCAUGAGUCCCCACCAUUACGUGCUGGCAACAUAGGACAAGGGUUGCGCUCGUUGCGGGACUUAACCCAACAUCUCACGACACGAGCUGACGACAGCCAUGCACCACCUGUCAUGGGCGCUUACGCACACUGUGUUUCCACAGCUAGACCCAUGAUGUCAAACCCAGGUAAGGUUCUUCGGGUUGCAUCGAAUUAAGCCGCAUGCUCCGCCGCUUGUGCGGGGCCCCGUCAAUUCCUUUGAGUUUUAGCCUUGCGGCCGUACUCCCCAGGCGGAACACUUAACGCGUUAGCUACGGCGCAGCAGACGUGAAUCAGUCCGCCACACCUAGUGUUCAU